AUACGUAGGGAGCGAGCGUUGUCCGGAAUUACUGGGUGUAAAGGGUGCGUAGGCGGGACUGCAAGUCAGAUGUGAAAUGCCGGGGCUCAACCCCGGAGCUGCAUUUGAAACUGUGGUUCUUGAGUGAGGUAGAGGUAAGCGGAAUUCCUAGUGUAGCGGUGAAAUGCGUAGAUAUUAGGAGGAACACCGAUUGCGAAGGCAUCUCACGAAGGGUUGAUUGACGCUGAGGCACGAAAGCGUGGGGAUCAAACAGGAUUAGAUACCCUGGUAGUCCACGCAGUAAACGAUGAUGGCUAACCGCUGGGCUUAUCAGUUCAGUGGCCAAGCGAAAGCGAUAAGCCAUCCACCUGGGGAGUACGACCGCAAGGUUGAAACUCAAAUGAAUUGGCGGGG
rnacentral:rRNA from 1 species